rnacentral:rRNA from 1 species
ACCGCCCAAUUCUUCGGAGCAGCAUGGGAUAUGCCAUGGCCCAGCUGUGCAGGACGCGCUUAGGAUGACGCCUUCGGUUGUAACUCUUCAGUAGGGAGAGCGAAAGUGACGUACUGCAGAGAAGCGCCGCUAACUACGUGCCAGCAGCCGCGGUUAUACGUAGGGCGCAAGCGUUAUCCGGAAUAUUGGGCGUAAAGAGCUCGUAGGCGGUUUGUCGCGUCUGCUGUGAAAGACCGGGGCUCAACUCCGGUUCUGCAGUGGGUACGGGCAGACUAGAGUGCAGUAGGGGAGACUGGAAUUCCUGGUGUAGCGGUGAAAUGCGCAGAUAUCAGGAGGAACACCGAUGGCGAAGGCAGGUCUCUGGGCUGUAACUGACGCUGAGGAGCGAAAGCAUGGGGAGCGAACAGGAUUAGAUACCCUGGUAGUCCAUGCCGUAAACGUUGGGCACUAGGUGUGGGGGACAUUCCACGUUUUCCGCGCCGUAGCUAACGCAUUAAGUGCCCCGCCUGGGGAGUACGGCCGCAAGGCUAAAACUCAAAGGAAUUGACGGGGGCCCGCACAAGCGGCGGAGCAUGCGGAUUAAUUCGAUGCAACGCGAAGAACCUUACCAAGGCUUGACAUGAACCGGAAAGACCUGGAAACAGGUGCCCCGCUUGCGGUCGGUUUACAGGUGGUGCAUGGUUGUCGUCAGCUCGUGUCGUGAGAUGUUGGGUUAAGUCCCGCAACGAGCGCAACCCUCGUUCUAUGUUGCCAGCGCGUUAUGGCGGGGACUCAUAGGAGACUGCCGGGGUCAACUCGGAGGAAGGUGGGGACGACGUCAAAUCAUCAUGCCCCUUAUGUCUUGGGCUUCACGCAUGCUACAAUGGCCGGUACAAAGGGUUGCGAUACUGUGAGGUGGAGCUAAUCCCAAAAAGCCGGUCUCAGUUCGGAUUGGGGUCUGCAACUCGACCCCAUGAAGUCGGAGUCGCUAGUAAUCGCAGAUCAGCAACGCUGCGGUGAAUACGUUCCCGGGCCUUGUACACACCGCCCGUCAAGUCACGAAAGUUGGUAACACCCGAAGCCGGUGGCCUAACCCUUGUGGGGGGAGCCUCGAAAGUGCC